rnacentral:tRNA from 1 species
GUGACCGUAGCUCAGUCGGUAGAGCGCUCGCCUGAAAGGUGGGGCGUCGCAGGUUCGCCCCCUGCCGGUCACA